UACGUAGGGUGCAAGCGUUUGUCCGGAAUUAUUGGGCGUAAAGAGCUCGUAGGCGGUUCGUCGCGUCGGCUGUGAAAUCCCGAGGCUCAACCUCGGGUCUGCAGUCGAUACGGGCGGACUGGAGUUCGGCAGGGGAGACUGGAAUUCCUGGUGUAGCGGUGAAAUGCGCAGAUAUCAGGAGGAACACCGGUGGCGAAGGCGGGUCUCUGGGCCGAUACUGACGCUGAGGAGCGAAAGCGUGGGGAGCGAACAGG
rnacentral:rRNA from 1 species